CACACAGUAAACGUGGCCAGUCGGAUGGACAGUACAGGGGUCCCGGACCAUAUUCAGGUGACCACAGACCUGCACCAGGUGUUGGCCAGUAAAGGUUACAAGCUGGAGUGUCGAGGGGUCGUUAAGGUGAAAGGCAAGGGUGAGAUGACCACUUACUUCCUGAAUGAAGGACCUCCCAACAGUUAGCAGCGCUCUAGAGUUCCUUUGGAUUCCCACAAUUCCCCAGAGAGGAGGAUUUCUAGAGGCAAGCAGAAGACAAACAAGUAGCCAUCGCCAUCACUUGAAGAAAAAACAAAGAAAAAAGGAAGAUUAUUG